CAAUCACGUGGUGAAUUGAUUGACUGUUGAUACGGAACUAAAAGUGUUUAAUGGUUUGUAAAAUGGCUUUUUUUCCUCUGCUGUGCGAAUGACAAGAAGCAGCUAAUAUUCAAAAGAAGAUGUUUGCAGUGUGGACAUCAGCGCAUGGGUCAUAAUAAAGGAGCUUCAAGCAGAGUCUACAAUAGAGCCGACCUCUUCACCACAUGGACAUGGCACAGCGACGGACCAUCCCAGACAUGUCCACUCCCACGAUCCUGUAUGAAACCCAACAGCCCCUCCCUUCUCGUUAAACCCAACCCUUAUGUAAGGCAGCAUCAUACCUUCACGUCACUCGUCCGCAGCAUCUGUCCUCCACCUCCAAUCAUCUCUGCUGUCCUCCUUUAUCUUUACUCUUCUCCUGCUGGUUUCCCACGCAGGCGUGUAAUGGGAUUCUUGUUACUUUCGGUUAUCUAGCUUUAUGAAGAAUGUACGUCACUCAUACAGCUAGAUAACCAAAGAUAACAGACAACCCCUCAGGCCUGCAGACGCAUAGUUCCCCACCAGCAAUACGCAUGCACGUCAGAUACACCUGUGAGGACAAACAGUGGCACAGGGUGAGGGGCUAAUUCACCAGGCAACAGCUAAUCUGUUCCAAAGGGGCACGCUCGUGCUCGUAAAUGGAGUGAAUGCAGAUGAUUGACCACAAUGUUUAAAACACCACAGUAGAGUUAUUUGGAAACAAGCACAGCUAAAGACUCACAGGAGAACGCUUCAUUUUCUGUAGUUUCAAGUGUUUAUGGUGUCUUUUAACAAUUAAGAUGUAAAUGGGAUCAUAAAGGAAGACCAAUGAAAGCCAAGUGUCCAGAAAUGCAAACAUCCGACCUUACAACCCGUUAUGGAUCACAAAACAGUAUUACAGUAGUGUGUAAACAAUAAGUACAUUGAACAUUAAAAAUGCAUUUAUUUUACAGCAGUAACAUUACAGAGAUGCAUGAAGUUAAUUAACUAUAGCUUCCACUGUAGAUUUCCCAAACUAACCCCUUGAAAUCCCUUUGAAUUAUACAAUCACAUAUUAAAACCGGUAUUCUAUUGUUAUGCUAUCCUAUAGUUUUAGUUUCCUAUAUAACUAGUAUAACCUAAGAUUCAAUCCAGUUCCAGACAUAUAUAUAUAUAUAUAUAUAUAUCUAAUUAAAUUUUUUUUAAUUUUAAUUAAUUAAUUUUUUUUACAAGAAGCUUAAAUAUCGAUCAAUUAAAAAUAAAAAUUAAUUCAAAUCAAUUAAUUUACCCCCU
rnacentral:lncRNA from 1 species